rnacentral:rRNA from 1 species
UUAAGGUAAUACAAUUUCUCAAUUUAUAAGGAAUAUAUUAAAAAUCUUUUCAAGAAAAUUUUAAUUAAUAUUUUGUAAAAAUCUAAAUCAAGUUAGGAUAAAUAAUAAAUUAAUUUUUUUUUAAGGAACUCGGCAAAAUAAAAUAUCGACUGUUUACCAAAAACAUAGCCCUCUAAAAUAUUGAAGGUGAAACCUGCCCAAUGAUAUAAAAAUAAUUAUAACCUAAUUUAAAUAAUAUUAAAUGGAUGCAGUAACUCUGACUGUAAUAAAGUAGCAUAAUUAGUUGUCAUUUAAUUGAUGGAGAGAAUGAAUGGUUACACGAAUUUUUCACUGUCUUAAAAAAAAUUUUUUAAAAUUGAAAUAAUAGUUAAGAUGCUAUUUAAAAUUGUAAGACGAAGAGACCCUAUAGAGCUUUACUAUAAACUUUUUUCUUAAAAAUAAUAAAAAAUUAUUAAAACUAGAAAGUUUGGUAGUUUAGUUGGGGCGACUGUUUUUUAAAAAUAACAAAAAUAAGCAAUAUAAUAAAUUUAUUUAUUGUAUAAUUAAACAAUUUAACAAUUACUAUAGUAGGCUAUAAUGACCCGUUAUUAUAAUAAAUAAUAAAUAACGAUUAAUUGAUAAAAGCUACCUUAGGGAUAACAGGAUAAUUUUGUUUUAGAGUCCUUAUCAAAAACAAAGUUUGUCACCUCUAUGUUGAAUUAAGAUAUCCUAAUAAUGCAGUAGUUAUUGAGGGUAGGUCUGUUCGACCUUUAAAAUCUUACAUGAUUUGAGUUCAUUCCGUCGCAAGACAGGAAGGUUUCUAUCUACAAUUAUAAAAUUACUUUAGACUUUUAGUACGAAAGGAAUAAAGUUUCACUUAGUUAAUUAAAAAAACUAAUAAAAAAAUUUUGAAAGAAUCUAAAAAUUUAAAGUAAUUAUUUAAUAA